rnacentral:pre_miRNA from 1 species
UUUGUGGGGAAUGUUGUCUGGCUCGAGACCACAAGAAAGCUUCAAUCUUUAUGUUACAUAAUCACAAAAUUGAUCAAUCUUUGUUGAUCAAUGAUUAAAGAUUAGAAUCUUGUGUUGUCGGACCAGGCUUCAUUCCCCUCAUG